UAAAACCACUUCCUAUAUUUGACAGUAGAGAGGGCUAGGCACAAUUUCCUGACUGAACAAAGCAGCCUAAUACUUAAAGAGAGCAACUCCAGACUGUUACAGAGACUAGAGGGACCACAGCAAGGUUGACACCCUGAACAGGCUGAUAUCCUUUCAUCUCCCAUCCUCCCAGCAUGAUGUAAAUAAGAGGCUGAUAGGAAACUCGGCCUUCUGCAAAGAAACACCUUCUCUUUGCUGCCCUCAGCUGAUCCCACGUGCCAGGAAGAUGGAGCCAAGCUUGCUGAUGUGGGGAAUCUCUACACUCAUCACAGUAUCUGGCUACAUGACAGACCUUUGUGACGAUAACCCACCAAACCUCCAGCAUGCCACAUACAGAGCUCUCCAAUACAAGACGGGCACGAUGUUAAAUUGCGGCUGUGAGAGAGGCUUCCGCAGACUAAGCAACUUCAUGCGUUGUGCAGGAAACUCUAGCCACGCUUCCUGGGAAAACAAAUGCCAAUGCAUAAGUACAUCCUCCAAGAGCACAGAAGGACAAGUUACUCCUAAACCCAAAGAACAGAAGGAAAUGCAGAGCCAAACGCCACCCAUGGACCAAGGUAACCUUCCAGGUCACUGCAGGGAGCCUCCUUCCUGGGAACAUGAAGAUUCAAAGAGAAUCUACCACUUUGUGGUGGGGCAGACAGUUCGCUACCAGUGCGCGCAGGGAUUCAGGGCCCUGCGGAGAGGUUCUGACAAGAGCAUCUGCAAAACCAUCUCAGGGAAGACCCAGUGGACACAGCCCCAGCUCAAGUGCAUAAGUGAAAGUGAUGAAGAAGAGCCUCAAGCAAGCACCCAUGCUCCUCCUGGGAGAGACACUUCCUGUCCCUUGAUAACAACAAGUGCUACAGAUUUCCACAAACUCACAGAAGCGGCUACCACCGUGGAGUCAUUCAUAUUCACAACCGAGUAUCAGAUAGCAGGCCUCCCUGGUGGCCCCCUUAACUGAGGCCUCUGAACCUUGGUGAAGAGCAUGCUUGUCAGUUACUUCAUGCCCCUCAGAAAGAGCCAAGCCCCUCGAGGAAAGGCGCCAAGCCCUUUCCCACCUCCCCAGGGCUCCAGCCCCAGUCCCUGAGCCUCCUAGGAAAUCAUGUCGGGUGGGAGCUGCGUUCUGGGAAGGGAAGGCAGAAACGCCAGUGCACCCCUCUUCGGGAAACCCUUGCUCUGCGGGGAUUUUCUCAGCCUGAUCUGCAACCCGGCCCAGCGGGCACCUUUGCUGAACUGCUUCUCUGUUGACAGUGGCCGGCUGCGUUCUCCUGCUCAUUGGCGUCCUCCUUCUGAGCGGGCUCACCUGGCGGCGGAGAUGGAGGAAGAGGAGAAGAACAAUCUAGAAAACCAGGAGUGGUAAGAAGCCAAGAACAGCUCACAGAAGUCAUAAAGCACGAGCAAAAUCAAAGAAGUCGAACACUUACCCAAGA